UACGGAGGAUGCGAGCGUUAUCCGGAUUUAUUGGGUUUAAAGGGUGCGUAGGCGGGCUGUUAAGUCAGCGGUAAAAGCCCGGGGCUCAACCCCGGCGAGCCGUUGAAACUGGCUGGCUUGAGUUGGGGAAAGGCAGGCGGAAUGCGCGGUGUAGCGGUGAAAUGCAUAGAUAUCGCGCAGAACCCCGAUUGCGAAGGCAGCUCACUAGACUGCAACUGACACUGAUGCUCGAAAGUGUGGGUAUCAAACAGG
rnacentral:rRNA from 1 species